UACGUAGGGUGCGAGCGUUGUCCGGAAUUAUUGGGCGUAAAGGGCGCGUAGGCGGUGCGGUAAGUCUGCUGUGAAAUCUCCGGGCUCAACUCGGAGUCUGCAACGGAAACUGCCGUGCUGGAGUAUGGGAGAGGUGAGUGGAAUUCCCGGUGUGGCGGUGAAAUGCGUAGAUAUCGGGAGGAACACCUGUGGCGAAAGCGGCUCACUGGACCAUAACUGACGCUGAGGCGCGAAAGCUAGGGGAGCAAACAGG
rnacentral:misc_RNA from 1 species